UACAGAGGUCUCAAGCGUUGUUCGGAUUCAUUGGGCGUAAAGGGUGCGUAGGUGGCGCCAUAAGUCAGGUGUGAAAUCUCGGGGCUCAACCCCGAAACUGCACUUGAUACUGUGGUGCUCGAGUACUGGAGAGGAGAUUGGAAUUUACGGUGUAGCAGUGAAAUGCGUAGAUAUCGUAAGGAAGACCAGUGGCGAAGGCGAAUCUCUGGACAGUUACUGACACUGAGGCACGAAGGCCAGGGGAGGCAAACGG
rnacentral:rRNA from 1 species